GGGGAGAUGGCGGAACUGGCAGACGCAUCGGACUUAAAAUCCGAAGCCCUCACGGGCGUCCGGGUUCGAUCCCCGGUCUCCCCACCA
rnacentral:tRNA from 1 species